CCUGGCUCAGGAUGAACGCUAGCGACAGGCCUAACACAUGCAAGUCGAGGGGCAGCGGGAUUGAAGCUUGCUUAAUGCCGGCGACCGGCGCACGGGUGCGUAACAGGUGUGCAAUCUGUCCAUAGUCGGGGGAAUAGCCCAGCGAAAGUUGGAUUAAUGCUCCAUGUGAAUCGAGACCGCAUGAUCUUGAUUUGAAACGUAAGGACUAUGGGUGAGCACGCUUCUGAUUAGAUAGUUGGUGAGGUAACGGCUCACCAAGUCGACGAUCAGUAGGGGUUCUGAGAGGAAGGUCCCCCCACAUUGGAACUGAGACACGGUCCAAACUCCUACGGGAGGCAGCAGUGAGGAAUAUUGGUCAAUGGGCGAGAGCCUGAACCAGCCAAGUCGCGUGAAGGAUGAAGGUUCUAUGGAUUGUAAACUUCUUUUGUCCGAGGGUAAAAAAGGCCACGUGUGGCUUCUUGCAAGUAUCGGACGAAUAAGCAUCGGCUGACUCCGUGCCAGCCGCCGC
rnacentral:rRNA from 1 species